rfam:Canis lupus familiaris chromosome 35, whole genome shotgun sequence.
CCAAAGGCUCUUUUCAGAGCCACCCACCGGUCUUCUCAAGAGAGCU